AGUGGCCCUGUGGCUCAGUGGUAGAGCAUUGGCUUUGCACAGAAAAGGUCUUGGGUUCAAUCCCCUGCAUCUCUG
rnacentral:tRNA from 1 species